UCUGAUCUAUGAUGACCAACUUGCAAAAGGACUGUUGGAUGAAGUUAGCGGAUAUGGGACUGAGAUCAGCC